AGGAAUCCUAGGGUGUGCCUGGAGGUGGCGGAGUGUACCGACGCGGGUGUGAGCGCGUGUGCCAGCGAGGGUGGGCACGGGGGUGAGCGUGGCAAGGGCAGCAGCACCUGCUUGAGACCAAGCCCGGCGACCUGGCAAGGUGGGGCCCCCUACCGCGCAAUCUUUGCGGCUGGCCCCCGGCUCUCAGCUCCGAGUGCAGAGGCUGAAGAGGUACCCGGGGGACACACUGCCUCUAACCCCACCUAUGAGCCGCUCUCCUCUCGGAGGACGAAGGCACCAUCAGAAGGUCGAGAUUCGCCCUCCUCUCCCGCCACGUCUACCCACUACCUAGACCGGGAGUCUGGACUUGGGAGCGUGAACUCUCACCCGAGCCGGUCCCCUUACAACUGGAGCCCGCCCAGCCCCUCAGUCCCUCCCUGAAGCCCAUGGGUCCCCACUGCUCCGUGCCUCGUCGACCCAGGAUGGGGAGUGGGAAGGUCAGCAUGUGCCCACAGGGCCAGGUGUCCGGCCCAGAUUCCCACCCUCAGGGCGGCGGCGCGCAAAGGGCGCAGUCCCCGCCGCUGGGCGGACCCGCGGCUCCGGCUUUCCCGGUGUCUCCAGCCUCGGUGCCCGGAAUCCUGGAUCUCGGCCUGGCGCUCCGGAAGCGAGGCAGCUCCGUGCCCCAGCAGGGACGGGGAACGCUUGGCUUGAGAGAUCACAUUUCUGGGUGUGGAGAGAAUGUCAAUCACAUAUCCAGAAUAUCACCUCCUUGGGCACAGCCAGGGCAUGGUCCAUUGAAAAUGUUCCUGAUUGCUGGAAGCUGACGGCUCACCAUAAAAGCCAAAAUGGGGACCUGUCAAAAAUGUUUUAGCCAAACUAUGGCUUGGCUCAGGAAGAUGCCAAGACCAAAGGCUGCUGAACUUUAAGUAUAAACUUGCAUGAAAAGCACAUUGCAGGUCUGAGACAGUGGAGGCUUAGUGGUGAGAACAUGAGCUCUGGAUAGACCUGGCUUCAAGUCUUGGCUCUGUCAUUCACCAGCUGUGUGAAUUUGGGCAAACCACUUUUCUUCUCUGAUGCUCAGUUCCCUCACCUAGCAAAAUGGGUUAUAAUGAUG
rnacentral:lncRNA from 1 species